rnacentral:rRNA from 1 species
GACGAACGCUGGCGGCGUGCCUAAUACAUGCAAGUAGAACGCUGAAGGAGGAGCUUGCUCUUCUGGAUGAGUUGCGAACGGGUGAGUAACGCGUAGGUAACCUGCCUGGUAGCGGGGGAUAACUAUUGGAAACGAUAGCUAAUACCGCAUAACAGUAGAUGUUGCAUGACAUUUACUUAAAAGGUGCAAUUGCAUCACUACCAGAUGGACCUGCGUUGUAUUAGCUAGUUGGUGGGGUAACGGCUCACCAAGGCGACGAUACAUAGCCGACCUGAGAGGGUGAUCGGCCACACUGGGACUGAGACACGGCCCAGACUCCUACGGGAGGCAGCAGUAGGGAAUCUUCGGCAAUGGACGGAAGUCUGACCGAGCAACGCCGCGUGAGUGAAGAAGGUUUUCGGAUCGUAAAGCUCUGUUGUAAGAGAAGAACGAGUGUGAGAGUGGAAAGUUCACACUGUGACGGUAUCUUAACAGAAAGGGACGGCUAACUACGUG